rnacentral:lncRNA from 1 species
AUGACAAAGGAAGAAGUGGAGAGACUUCCAUUCAGUGUUGAGAUUGAGGGGUGCUUUUCUUUGGAGGAUCAUGAGAGAGUGGAGGAAUCCAAUAAGGAUGUUGAGCUGAUAGAGGAGAGGGGGGACAACAACUCUAAAGAGGCCAGCAAUAAAGAGUUGUUUGUGGUAGAAGAGUGUGAUGUAGGUGAAUAUCAUGUGUAUAUGAUAAUUAGAACCAAAAAAGAUGGCAAAUGUUGGAUGGUGAUCAAUGUAUAUGGCCCUGUGCAAUAUGAGAGGAAGGAGGAUUUUCUAAGAGAGCUCCAUUUAAGAGUUAUAAGCAGUAAUGUACCAGCAAUGGUAGGGGGUGAUUUUACUAUGGUUAGAUUUGAGUGGGAGAAAGAUGGUGGAAUUUUUCACAGAAGAUGGGCUGAAGCCUUUAAUUUGUUCAUAGCUGAC